rnacentral:tRNA from 7 species
GCCCAUCUAGCCUAGUUGGUAGACCACAAGGCUUCAAACCUUAUGGUCGUGGGUUCAAGCCCCAUAGUUUACA